rnacentral:rRNA from 1 species
CCUACGGGAGGCAGCAGUGAGGAAUAUUGGUCAAUGGGCGUAAGCCUGAACCAGCCAAGUCGCGUGAGGGAUGAAGGUUCUAUGGAUCGUAAACCUCUUUUAUACGGGAAUAAAGUGUGGGACGUGUACUGUUUUGAAUGUAUCUUAUGAAUAAGGAUCGGCUAACUCCGUGCCAGCAGCCGCGGUAAUACGGAGGAUCCGAGCGUUAUCCGGAUUUAUUGGGUUUAAAGGGUGCGUAGGCGGUCGUAUAAGUUAGAGGGGAAAGCCUGUGGCUCAACUAUCGAAUUGCCGUUGAAACUGGGAGGCUUGAGUAUAGUUGAGGCAGGCGGAAUGCGUGGUGUAGCGGUGAAAUGCUUAGAUAUCACGCAGAACGCCGAUUGCGAAGGCAGCCUGCCAAGCCAUGACUGACGCUGAUGCACGAAAGCGUGGGGAUCAAACAGGAUUAGAUACCCGUGUAGUC